rnacentral:miRNA from 1 species
GACGUCGAUAUUCGACGUCAUAAACACCAUCAAUUUUGGUGCUUAUGGCUUCGAUAUACGUCAUAAACACCAUAAAAUUUUGUGUUUAUCACGUCGAUAUACGACGUCAUAAACAACAACAAGUUUGGUGUUUAUGACGUCGAUAUACGAAGUCAUAAAUACCAUCAAGAUUGGUGUUUAUGGCGUUGAUAUUCGACGUC